rnacentral:rRNA from 1 species
UGGGGAAUAUUGGACAAUGGGCGCAAGCCUGAUCCAGCCAUGCCGCGUGAGUGAUGACGGCCCUAGGGUUGUAAAGCUCUUUCGCACGCGACGAUAAUGACGGUAGCGUGAGAAGAAGCCCCGGCUAACUUCGUGCCAGCAGCCGCGGUAAUACGAAGGGGGCUAGCGUUGCUCGGAAUCACUGGGCGUAAAGGGCGCGUAGGCGGGCUCUUAAGUCAGGGGUGAAAGCCCAAGGCUCAACCUUGGAAUUGCCUUUGAUACUGAGGGCCUUGAGACCGGAAGAGGUCGGCGGAACUGCGAGUGUAGAGGUGAAAUUCGUAGAUAUUCGCAAGAACACCAGUGGCGAAGGCGGCCGACUGGUCCGGUUCUGACGCUGAGGCGCGAAAGCGUGGGGAGCAAACAG